rnacentral:rRNA from 1 species
AUUGAACGCUGGCGGCAGGCCUAACACAUGCAAGUCGAGCGGAAGCAGGGAGCUUGCUCCUGGAUUCAGCGGCCGACGGGUGGGUGAUUCCUAGGAAUCUGCCUGGUAGUUUGGUCUAACGUCCGGAAGCGGGCGCUCAUACCCCAUACGUCCUGAGGGCGUAAGUGGGGGAUCUUCGGACCUCCCGCUCUCAGAUGAGCCUAGGUCGGAUUAUCUAGUUGGUGGGGUAAAGGCCUACCAAGGCGACGAUCCGUAACUGGUCUGAGAGGAUGAUCAGGCAAACUGGAAAUGGGAAAAGGGCCAAACUCCUAAGGGAGGGAGCAGGGGGGAAUAUUGGACCAUGGGCGGAAGGCUGAUCCAGGCAUGCCGCGGUGGGGAAGGAGGGCUUCGGAGUGGAAAGCACUUUAAGUUGGGAGAAAGAGCAGUAAGGUAAUACCUUGGUUGUUCGACGGUACCAAAAAAAUAAGGAACGGCUAACUUCGUG